rnacentral:tRNA from 1 species
ACCAUCUUAGCUCAGUGGUAGAGCGCGUGGCUUUUAACCACGUGGUCGUGGGUUGAUCCCAUAGAUGGUG